rnacentral:rRNA from 1 species
AUGGAUUUGAACGCAUCACCGUUGCCCGAGGACGAUGACCAUGAAGAGCCAGUUGAGCUUGAUUUUGGACAGGACGAUGAAGAUCAUGUCGAGUCUGCUGUUGAGAUUAUGAGAAGGGAACGAGAAGAACGACGCAGAAAGUUGAAGAGAGAUCAGCCAGAUGAUGGACUAAGGCCGCGACCACAGCAGGUUAGGAAUGAUCAUGUGACCCAAAACAAGAUUGGCGGAUACAAACGAGUUAAAGAGACACCUCAGGGUUGGUUGGAUUGCCCUGCAUCUGGUCAACCAAUAGACAAAAUCAUACCUUCUAAAGUUCCGCUGGAUGAAACAUUCAAUGAGUCGAUUCCUCCUGGAAAAAGAUAUUCUUCCAAACAAGUUGUUAAUAAACAAAGAAAGGCUGGCAGGGACAUAGGUUUGGUGAUUGACUUGACAAAUACCUCUCGGUACUAUUCGCCAGCAGAGUGGACGAAGCAAGGUACUAAACAUGUCAAGAUAGCUUGCAGGGGGAGAGAUGCUGUACCAGAAAAUGAAGCUGUUAACACAUUUGUGUAUGAGGUGUUGGCGUUUCAUGAGCGCCAGAAGCCAUCAAGGAAUCCCAAAUAUGUACUUGUUCACUGUACUCAUGGGCAUAACCGUACUGGUUUUAUGAUUGUUCAUUACCUAAUGCGCACACAACUGUCUAGUGUUACUGAGGCUUUAAAUAUAUUUGCUCAAAGACGGCCUCCAGGAAUAUAUAAAACCGACUACAUUCAAGCACUAUAUACAUUUUAUCAUGAAAUUCCUGAAAGUAUCACAUGUCCACCGACACCGGAAUGGAAGAGGCCUUCUGAUCUUGAUUUGAAUGGUGAAGCUAAGCAGGAUGACGAUGACGACAAUGGCGAGCCUGCACCAUCACCGGAUCCUGUAGAUGACAAGGCCAUUACUAAUGAUGAUGUCCUAGGGGAUGCUGUACCUUUUGACCAGCAAGAUAUCUUGCGUGGCAUAUGUUUCAAGUUACUUGAUUUUGUACCCAAUGGUAGAGCUAAUGCUCAAUUUCCAGGAUCUCAUCCAGUUUCCCUCAACAGUGAAAACCUGCAACUUCUGAGACAAAGAUAUUAUUAUGCUACGUGGAAAGCUGAUGGAACACGAUACAUGAUGCUUAUAAUGCGGGAUGGCUGUUUCUUAAUAGACCGGAACUUCUGCUUUAGAAGAGUUCAGAUGCGUUUUCCUAUUAGGAAUGUUAACGAUGGUUUCCACAACUUUACAUUGAUCGAUGGAGAAAUGGUUGUAGACGCCAUACCAGGUGGUGGAUUGAAGCGGAGGUACUUAGCGUAUGAUCUAAUGGCAAUUAAUUUCUCCUCCAAAGUCAAGUUGCCCUUUUCUGACAGGUGGAAGCUACUUGAGGAUGAAAUAAUUCGUCCACGCAUCUAUGAGAGAAAGCAGUUUGAAACUGGUCUGAAAGGCAAUCCAUCAUACAGAUAUGACCUGGAACUUUUUUCGGUAAGGAGAAAGGAUUUUUGGCUGCUUUCCACGGUGAAGAAAUUACUCAAGGAGUUUAUUCCAGCACUUUCACAUGAAUCUGAUGGGCUUAUAUUUCAGGGCUGGGAUGAUCCAUACGUGAAUCGUACGCACGAAGGUCUUUUAAAAUGGAAGUACCCAGAGAUGAAUUCAGUUGACUUUUUGUUUGAGACUGGUAGUGAAAACCGUCAGCUUAUUUUUCUGUAUGAGAGGGGCAAAAAGAAACUUAUGGAUGGUACCCGGGUGGUAUUUGCUGAUGAUGUAGAGCCAUCUUCAAUAUCAGGGAAAAUUGUUGAGUGCUCUUGGAAUAAACAGGAGGACUGCUGGUUCUGCAUGCGAAUCCGAGCAGAUAAAUCAACUCCUAAUGAUAUCAAUACUUACAGAAAGGUGAUGAGGAGCAUCACAGAUAACAUUACUGAAGACAAGCUCCUGGGCGAGAUGAAUGAGAUCAGUAGCCUUCCAAUGUACGCCGACAGGAAGGCCCACGCUGACAGGAAGGCCCACGCCGAGAAGAUGGCUCACCAGCACAGAAGGAGGGGAUAA